CUGCUCUCGCUCCUCGGCCUUAAUUUCUCUCUCCCUAUCUCCUCACCUCAAUUUUGUUCUUCCAGAAACAUGAGUUCUCGUAUUUUCAGAUCUUCCUCUAGAGCCGCCAGGUCUCUUCUCUCUGCUUCUAAGACCUCCCGCUUCUACUCUGAAGGACGAACUGUAGCAGCAGCGGCGGCCGUUGCAUUCAGUGGAAAAGCGCCCUCUCUAGCUUCGGGUUUUGGAAGGACUGGUUCUGCUAAUGCUUCUAGACAAUGGAUUUCCGGAGCCCUGGCAAUUCCAGCGGCAGUUUGCAUGCUCCAAGAACAGGAGGUGCAUGCUGCAGAGAUGGAGC
rnacentral:misc_RNA from 1 species